GCCGAGAUAGCUCAGUUGGUAGAGCACCUGUCUGAAGAACAGGGUGUCCCCAGUUCAAAUCUGGGUCUCGGCACCA
rnacentral:tRNA from 1 species